CAUGUUUGUCCAUGUCCAUUUCACGGGGCCUCUCCUUUCGUUGUCGCACCAGAACGACGCGCAAACGAUGAAAUCAAGGCAAAAACAGAAAGAACCCUCCAUAAAGAAUAAAUGAUGAUAUCCCAUCAAACGGAGCUCCGAAAAUAGCUUUGAUUUGAAGGCGGCUUCCAUGCUCCGAGCACCCGAAGAAUCGAAGCGAAGGAGGAGAUCUCGGGAGAGGACUCGCCCCCGGGAGGCGAUUUUUCCGGGCGGGGCGAGCUUGGUUUCGCGGAGCUGUUCUCGGUCCGCGUGAGGGAUCCGGAGCAUGACGCGGGAUCGAUACGGUAUGUCCAGCAUGAGUUGUCGCGAGCAAUGAUUUUGCCAUGGACGAUUUAGCUUCGUUCCGAGCCCACAUCCUGCUUUCGUGCUUUGCCAAUACGAAUGGCUCGCGUGGAGGGACGCUUUGGGGGUCUCUCCAAUUAUGGAAUUUGGCCUGCAAACAAUUGGGAAAUCGACUGGUUCCUUUCUGAGCAAUCCGCGUACGGUGUGGACUGGCGAA
rnacentral:lncRNA from 1 species